rnacentral:misc_RNA from 1 species
UAUCCGUAGGUGAACCUGCGGAAGGAUCAUUACUGAGUGAGGGCCCUCUGGGUCCAACCUCCCACCCGUGUUUAUUAUACCUUGUUGCUUCGGUGAGCCCGCCUCACGGCCGCCGGGGGGCAUCUGCCCCCGGGCCCGCGCCCACCGAAGACACCUAGAACUCUGUAUGAAGAUUGCAGUCUGAGCAAAAACUAAAUAAGUUAAAACUUUCAACAACGGAUCUCUUGGUUCCG